AGCGAACGCUGGCGGCAGGCCUAACACAUGCAAGUCGAGCGCCGUAGCAAUACGGAGCGGCAGACGGGUGAGUAACGCGUGGGAACGUGCCCUUCGGUUCGGAAUAACUCAGGGAAACUUGAGCUAAUACCGGAUACGUCCGAGAGGAGAAAGAUUUAUCGCCGAAGGAUCGGCCCGCGUAAGAUUAGCUAGUUGGUGAGGUAACGGCUCACCAAGGCUCUGAUCUUUAGCUGGUCUGAGAGGACGAUCAGCCACACUGGGACUGAGACACGGCCCAGACUCCUACGGGAGGCAGCAGUGGGGAAUAUUGGACAAUGGGCGCAAGCCUGAUCCAGCCAUGCCGCGUGAGUGAUG
rnacentral:rRNA from 1 species